rnacentral:rRNA from 1 species
AGAGAGAGACAUGCGCGCAUAUCAAUAAGCGGAGGAAAAGAAACCAACAAGGAUUCCCUUAGUAACGGCGAGUGAAGCGGGAAGAGCUCAAAUUUGAAAUCUUCAAGGUUUUACCUUGACGAAUUGUAGUUUAAAGAAGUGUUUUCUGCUGAAGUUUUGGUAAAAGUUCUUUGGAAUAGGACAUCAUAGAGGGUGAGAAUCCCGUAUUUGACCAUUAUUUUCAGCUUUGUGAUACACUUUCAAAGAGUCGGAUUGUUUGGGAAUGCAGACCAAAAUGGGUGGUAAAUUUCAUCUAAAGCUAAAUAUUGGCGAGAGACCGAUAGCGAACAAGUACCGUGAGGGAAAGAUGAAAAGAACUUUGAAAAGAGAGUUAAACAGUACGUGAAAUUGUCAAAAGGGAAGCGUUUGACACCAGUGUUGUUUUCUCGAAAAUCAAUUAAAAAUGGCUCGAUUUUGUAUUGCUUGAGACCUUAAAAGCUCACUGUACAUUUUUCGUGUCUUUUUUAAUGCACUUUUCGUUUAACAAGUCAACAUCAGUUUCUUUUGUUGUAAAAGGGUCAUUGGAAGGUGGCUUUCUUCUCGGAGAAAGUGUUUAUAGCCUUUGGCCUCUGCAAUCGAAGAGACUGAGGUCUGCAGCGUAGACUCUUCGGGGUUAGAUACAUUUGUGCUAAGUUAUAGCUUUUUAUAGACAACUUGUUGACUAUAAUUAGUCUUGUAGCUUACUCGCUUAUGCUAUUUUACCUACGCUUAGGAUGUUGAAGUCAUCGUAUCGCGC